ACUACUUGGAUAACCGUGGUAAUUCUAGAGCUAAUACAUGCUAAAAAUCCCGACUCCGGAAGGGAUGUAUUUAUUAGAUUAAAAACCAAUGCCCUCUGGGCUCUCUGGUGAUUCAUGAUAACUUCUCGAAUCGCAUGGCCUUGCGCCGGCGAUGGUUCAUUCAAAUUUCUUCCCUAUCAACUUUCGAUGUUUGGGUAGUGGCCAAACAUGGUUGCAACGGGUAACGGAGGGUUAGGGCUCGACCCCGGAGAAGGAGCCUGAGAAACGGCUACUACAUCCAAGGAAGGCAGCAGGCGCGCAAAUUACCCAAUCCCGAUCCGGGGAGGUAGUGACAAUAAAUACUGAUACAGGGCUCUUUUGGGUCUUGUAAUCGGAAUGAGUACAAUUUAAAUCCCUUAACGAGGAACAAUUGGAGGGCAAGUCUGGUGCCAGCAGCCGCGGUAAUUCCAGCUCCAAUAGCGUAUAUUAAAGUUGUUGUGGUUAAAAAGCUCGUAGUUGAACCUUGGGCCUGGCUGGCCGGUCCGCCUCACCGCGUGCACUGGUCCGGCCGGGCCUUUCCCUCUGUGGAACCCCAUGCCCUUCACUGGGCGUGGCGGGGAAACAGGACUUUUACUUUGAAAAAAUUAGAGUGCUCCAGGCAGGCCUAUGCUCGAAUACAUUAGCAUGGAAUAAUAAAAUAGGACGUGCGGUUCUAUUUUGUUGGUUUCUAGGACCGCCGUAAUGAUUAAUAGGGACAGUCGGGGGCAUCAGUAUUCAAUUGUCAGAGGUGAAAUUCUUGGAUUUAUUGAAGACUAACUACUGCGAAAGCAUUUGCCAAGGAUGUUUUCAUUAAUCAGGAACGAAAGUUAGGGGAUCGAAGACGAUCAGAUACCGUCGUAGUCUUAACCAUAAACUAUGCCGACUAGGGAUCGGACGAUGUU
rnacentral:rRNA from 1 species